rnacentral:misc_RNA from 1 species
GAUGAAGAACGUAGCGAAAUGCGAUACGUAAUGUGAAUUGCAGAAUUCAGUGAAUCAUCGAAUCUUUGAACGCAUAUUGCGCUCUCUGGUAUUCUGGAGAGCAUGCUUGUUUGAGUAUCAGUAAACACCUCAACUCCCUUUUCUUUUUUGAAAUGGGAGCUGGACUUGAGUGAUCCCAACACUUUUCUCACUGGAAAGUGGCGGGUCACUUGAAAUGCAGGUGCAGCUGGACUUUUCUCUGAGCUAUAAGCAUAUCUAUUUAGUCUGCCUAAAAAACAGAUUAUUACCUUUGCUGCAGCUAACAUAAAGGAGAUGAGUUCUUGUGCUGACUGAUGCAGGAUUCACAGAGACAGCUUUGCGGCUGACUUUGUAAACUCGAUCUCAAAUCAAGUAAGACUACCCGCUGAACUUAAGCAUAUCAAUAAGCGGAGGA